rnacentral:rRNA from 1 species
GAGGAAUAUUGGUCAAUGGACGGAAGUCUGAACCAGCCAAGUAGCGUGCAGGAUGACGGCCCUAUGGGUUGUAAACUGCUUUUGUAUGGGGAUAAAGUCAAUCACGUGUGAUUGUUUGCAGGUACCAUACGAAUAAGGACCGGCUAAUUCCGUGCCAGCAGCCGCGGUAAUACGGAAGGUUCGGGCGUUAUCCGGAUUUAUUGGGUUUAAAGGGAGCGUAGGCCGGAGAUUAAGUGUGUUGUGAAAUGUAGACGCUCAACGUCUGACUUGCAGCGCAUACUGGUUUCCUUGAGUACGCACAACGUUGGCGGAAUUCGUCGUGUAGCGGUGAAAUGCUUAGAUAUGACGAAGAACUCCGAUUGCGAAGGCAGCUGACGGGAGCGCAACUGACGCUUAAGCUCGAAGGUGCGGGUAUCGAACAGGAUUAGAUACCCUGGUAGUCCGCGCAGUAAACGAUGGAUGCCCGCUGUUGGUACCUGGUAUCAGCGGCUAAGCGAAAGCAUUAAGCAUCCCACCUGGGGAGUACGCCGGCAACGGUG